rnacentral:pre_miRNA from 1 species
CUGAAUCUUUGGUAUUCUAGCUGUAGAAUGUUGAGCUUUGUGAUAUGGUAUCUUCUAAAGCUUUAGUACCAGAGGUCCAACUG